AUUGAACGCUGGCGGCAGGCCUAACACAUGCAAGUCGAGCGGAUGAGGGUAGCUUGCUAUCUGAUUCAGCGGCGGACGGGUGAGUAAUGCCUAGGAAUCUGCCUGGUAGUGGGGGACAACGUUUCGAAAGGAACGCUAAUACCGCAUACGUCCUACGGGAGAAAGUGGGGGAUCUUCGGACCUCACGCUAUCAGAUGAGCCUAGGUACGAUUAGCUAGUUGGUGAGGUAAAGGCUCACCAAGGCGACGAUCGUUAACUGGUCUGAGAGGAUGAUAAGUCACACUGGAACGUAGACACGGUCCAGCAUCCGACGGGAGGCAGCAGUGGGGAAUAUUGGACAAUGGGCGAAAGCCUGAUCCAGCCAUGCCGCGUGUGUGAGGAAGGUCUUCGGAUUGUAAAGCACUUUAAGUUGGGAGGAAGGGCAGUAAGUUAAUACCUUGCUGUUUUGACGUUACCGACAGAAUAAGCACCGGCUAACUUCGUGCCAGCCGCCGCCGUAAUAC
rnacentral:rRNA from 1 species